UACUUAGUGGCAGACGGGUGAGUAACAUGUGGGUAUCUACCCUUUGGCCUGGAAUAACACGAGGAAACUUGUGCUAAUACCGGAUAAGUCUUUACGGAGAAAGCUUUAUGCACCAUUGGAUGAGCCCGCACUUGAUUAGUUUGUUGGUAGGGUAAUGGCCUACCAAGACUAUGAUCAAUAGCUGAUUUGAGAGGAUGAUCAGCCACAUUGGGACUGAGACACGGCCCAAACUCCUACGGGAGGCAGCAGUGGGGAAUCUUGCACAAUGGAGGAAACUCUGAUGCAGCGAUGCCGCGUGAGUGAAGAAGGCCUUUGGGUUGUAAAGCUCUUUCGUCGGGGAAGAAAAUGACUGUACCCGAAUAAGAAGGUCCGGCUAACUUCGUGCCAGCAGCCGCGGUAAUACGAAGGGACCUAGCGUAGUUCGGAAUUACUGGGCUUAAAGAGUUCGUAGGUGGUUGAAAAAGUUG
rnacentral:rRNA from 1 species